rnacentral:rRNA from 1 species
UACGGGGGGGGCAAGCGUUGUUCGGAAUUACUGGGCGUAAAGGGCUCGUAGGCGGCCAACUAAGUCAUACGUGAAAUCCCUCGGCUUAACCGGGGAACUGCGUCUGAUACUGGAUGGCUUGAGUUCGGGAGAGGGAUGCGGAAUUCCAGGUGUAGCGGUGAAAUGCGUAGAUAUCUGGAGGAACACCAAUGGCGAAGGCAGCUCGCUGGGACGUGACUGACGCUGAGACGCGAAAGCGUGGGGAGCAAACAGG